CGCCCGGUGGCCGAGGAUUCAGGCACGCGGCUGCAAACCGCGACACGCAGGUGAGAGUCCUGCUCGGGCGUCCA
rnacentral:tRNA from 1 species